GAUGAAGAACGUAGCGAAAUGCGAUAAGUAAUGUGAAUUGCAGAAUUCAGUGAAUCAUCGAAUCUUUGAACGCACAUUGCGCCCUCUGGUAUUCCGGGGGGCAUGCCUGUUCGAGCGUCAUUAUAACCACUCAAGCUCUCGCUUGGUAUUGGGGCUCGCGGUUCCGCGGCCCCUAAAAUCAGUGGCGGUGCCUGUCGGCUCUACGCGUAGUAAUACUCCUCGCGAUUGAGUCCCGGUCGGUCUACUUGCCAGCAACCCCCAAUUUUUACAGGUUGACCUCGGAUCAGGUAGGGAUACCCGCUGAACUUAAGCAUAUCAAUAAGCGGAGGA
rnacentral:misc_RNA from 1 species